rnacentral:piRNA from 1 species
UCCUGGUCGGUGGGGACGAAGUACGGC